ACCACACUCGAGCUCGCCGUUUCUCGCCGACCGGAGCCCAGCCGCCCCGCCCCUCCUUCCCGCCCUCCUGGAUCCAGCCGCAAUGGCGCCGUGCCGUCGGUGGCAGAUGUGGUCGGGAACCUGGUGCGGAGAAUGACACGGAUGCGCCGUCCCACGUUGGUGGCCGGUGCGGAUCAGGGAAGCGGGCGGAGCUCCUGCAGCAUUGCAGCCAUCGUCCUCUGUGUCACCGGCCGAGCAUGCACACUACUGAGCAUGGCGACGACGGCGUGCGCGAAGUACGCGGCUGAUAGCUCGCACGCGGUUUGACCUCUUGGACUUUCAUGCGGCCGUCGCGGGUUCCGGCAUCGGCAGCGUGCGGGAGAAGCGGGGUGCGGUGGCUCCCAACACAGGAGCGCAGGUGAAGAUGUUCUAACCUGUCGUGAGCACCUGCCCUUCGUCUGUGUCUUUCUGUAGAAAUGGCACUUUACUUCUAGGUUUCUUUCCGGGAGCAAUUAGUGGAGUACUAUGCAAACAAUAAAAGUUACAAAGAUGGUGAAGAGAUCAUGUUAACCAGCUUUGCUGACCUGUUCUCUCAGUUGUAUGAUUUGUUAAAGUGGCUAUGCUGGAUUGCCCUGAAGGUGGUAUGGAUAGCACAUUCAGGAUCGACUUCCAUCUCAAUAGUGAAAUUGCUUCUGUUGUUCAAGUGAGAGAAACAUGCAAGUAUCUUAAUGAUCCACUAAAUUAUUUUUGGAAAUGUGUCGGACGAAAAAGUUAAUAAUGCAUCAGUACAGCUUACAUCAUCAGUGGAUUUACAGUUCAAACUUCUGUGAGGGGCUGUGCUGCUGUCUGCCCAUGUCCCGAAGUGCAUUUGCUAGGAGAUAUUUAUCCUUUCUAUUUUACUUGAUCCAGUAUGCAUCCAUCCUGAUAGAUGAUAGGUUAGUCAACAAUUUGCUUUUAGCUUCUUCGGACUUUAAUAUUUUUUUGUGUCCCAAAAACUGCUGCAAGGCAUAUAUAAGGCGCAAGAGGUGAAAGAGGCAUAUACUAGACUUUAAUAAAGUUUCAGGCUUAAUUAUUUUGAUGGUCACAACUCACAACUGACAGAGUUGCAAGACUGUACGUAUGUUAAUUAUUUUGGAUGGAAAAACACAUAGUCUGAUUGUGAUUGUGAUCUUCACUUUGUACAUCUUCUCAAUGUUUCCACUUUGAUAAUAUGGAAUUAGUAUGCAUGAAGAAUUAGUUAACUAUUUUUUAGAAUGGCAAGACUUUAAGAAAGUUGUCUGUUGUUUGUAAAUAUCGGAAUAUUAUUUGUUCCCACAAUUGUAUUGUUUCCAAAACAUUACUGACAGUGAAAUAAAUUUAAAUUCAUAUACUAUGAGGCAACAAAAUAGUAUCAUCAUGUUGAAUAAAUUUAAAUACUAUUUUUGUGUAUGGAUAAAUGGUUUUUUUGUUUUAACAAUAAACUUUCAACAACCUAAAAAAAUAUACACUCAUGAUUAGUCAUUUUUAAUAUAGUUAAUAUUAUAAAAAAUAUUCUACUAAUAAAGUAUAAUCUGUACAACUAGCCCGUGCAGACUGCACGGGUUGACGGCUAGUUAGUUAUAAUGUCAUACCUUGCACCAUUUUCAGAAAUCAACAGUUUACCCUGCCUGAUGCUUUAUCCCUUGGAAGAAAUCUUUAUGGUGCUUCCGUGCUCUCCUAAAAGCCAGUUUAAACAGACUUAAAGAGUAGUGUUAUCAACUGAUAGUAAGAGAGCACCCUCAUCUUGCUUUCAACCACUUGCUUCUGGGCUUCACUUAUAUUUUUAUGUACUGAACAAUCUCCGCAAAGUUCGCAUUCUCCUACUGAAUUAAUAGUGCCAAGUCAUAAGUCUGCAGCUAAAUUUGAGGGAGAAGAAAUUAUCAAAAGACAACAUAGGAUAAAUGUUACAUAUUCGUAGAUUAUUAAUGUUAUUAGAAAUGCACUGCCUGCAUACUAUUUGGUGUCACCAAAAAUCCUUCGACUAUAGUGUUCAUCAUCUAAUGUAUAUUCUUGUUGUUUUCCUCAUGGCCCUGUUUUAAAUGUUUUGUACAUGAUGUCCCUGAAAAAACUGGAGUUGAUAUACUCAGGCCAAGUAUCACUUUCUUUAGAAAUAAGGCUAGGAUACCUGAUGUUAACACUGUCCUAACAGUAUGCUGGGACACAUUCAUUCUGUGAUUCAUGGUAGAAAUAUUUGUUGGCUAUAUUCCAUUGAAUAGGUUAUGAUCUAAUCUGUGAAGCAAUUAAUUUCUGCAUUUUCUGUUGUUCAUUCGCGCUGUUAGAUUAUCCAGGAUCACAUUUAACUUGGUAGUACUUAAAUUGCUGCAACUUCACUUUUCUGUCUGUUUAGUGAAUAACGUGUGUACAUUUGUUCUUUCCUAUACAAUAUCAGAUCUGCCAUAUGCAUGAAGUGGAUGCACCGGGACCUCAAACCAGAGAAUUUCUUGUUUGCAAACUGGAAAGAAACGGCUGCACUGAAAGCAAUUGAUUUUGGCCUGUUUGUUUUGUUUUUCACUCCAAGUAGAGUCAAUCCUAAUAUCCUAUAUGGCUAUCGUUGAAGCUUUCCAUUUUGACCCGUCUGUCACUUGUCGAUGAUAUGGUCAGAGGACAAAGCUGAGCUGAUACAGUAGCCUGUCUUAUGCUAUAUUUAGUUUUUGUUUUGACCUUGUGAAACUUGCUACCUAUGGAUGAAACUGUGUAAUAUUGAUGAAACUAUGUAUAUGUACGGAUGAAACUUGCUACUA